GUUUGCAGUGACGACAAGAAAAUUUCGUCAAGCUCAACAGACUUGAUUACGGGGAUAGGAACAUCGUUUCGCAUCCCAUAUGAUAGUUAACCCGCUGAUCCGAGCAAAC
rfam:Physcomitrella patens subsp. patens PHYPAscaffold_112 genomic scaffold, whole genome shotgun sequence.